UUCGGAGGCGGCUUAGUAUAAACUAUAGGUCCCUCCAUUGGUUGGAAAAACAUCAAGAUUAGAUUAUUUAGUUAGAUCAGUUAUGCCGAUUUUUUCUAUAAAAUAUGCUUACGACGUGUCAAGCUUUCAGUUGUUUAUUAUUUUUUAGUAAGCGAUAAAACUUCUAUUUCAUUUUAUAGAUUUAAUUAUUUAAAAUAACGUAUUGCAGUUUUCACUUGCACCAAAGCUAAAACCAAUGCAUUAAUUUUUAUAAAACAAAAACAUAAUAAAUUUAUGUUUAUUCACUAACUCCACACAUUUGCGCUUGUAUUCCACCAACCAAGUUCCCGGCUGCGUCGGCCACGCUUCAAUGGAGCACUUGAAGAUGGCAUUAAAUGCACCGACAAACAACAAAAUUGUGUAUCACUUUUGGCAAACUACUAGCGGCUGCUUCGAAAAUUUCGAAUGGAACUACUGCAUAUAAAUUUGUGUGCUUCGCAUAUAUUUUAGUUAUUUACUAUCGGCUUUUUUGCGCAUUUGUAUGUAUGGAAAUGUGUAAGUCUGUGCUUACAUGGAUUUAAGAAUAUGGCAAUUUUACUUUUUUUACUUGUUAUACAAUUAUUGCCUUUUAUUAUACCAAGCAUUUUGCUGCAAAAGCGCAAAUGACUUUUGUCAUAUUAGCGCGUCAUCACCACGCCACGCAUCAAACACCAAAAAAUGUGUGCAAACACAUCCUUAUGCACAAAUACGCACACACACGCGAAUAUUUAGAAGGCACAACGGAAAUGGCAGAGAACCACUGACGGCAUAUUGAAGUGUUUUUGGCAACGGAACCGGCAAAUUUCAUAUGCGCACCCACAGUAAUGUUAUACAAUUGUAUAUAAAUAAAUAUGUAUGUACAUGCAAAUGUUCAUACAUGCAUACAUAUGCAUGUACUUGUAUGAUUUUUAAAUAAAUGAAUAUAGCCGAAAAGGUAACCGUUAACUAA